UACAGAGGAUGCAAGCGUUAUCCGGAAUGAUUGGGCGUAAAGCGUCUGUAGGUGGCUUUUUAAGUCCGCCGUCAAAUCCCAGGGCUCAACUCUGGACAGGCGGUGGAAACUACCAAGCUGGAGUACGGUAGGGGCAGAGGGAAUUUCCGGUGGAGCGGUGAAAUGCGCAGAUAUCAGGAGGAACACCAAUGGCGAAGGCAGCUCGCUGGGACGGUACUGACGCUGAGGCGCGAAAGCGUGGGGAGCAAACAGG
rnacentral:rRNA from 1 species